UACGGAGGGUGCAAGCGUUGUCCGGAUUUAUUGGGUUUAAAGGGUGCGUAGGCGGUUUAUUAAGUCAGUGGUGAAAGACGGUCGCUCAACGAUUGCAGUGCCAUUGAUACUGGUAGACUUGAGUGGGAUUGAGGUAGCUGGAAUGGAUAGUGUAGCGGUGAAAUGCAUAGAUAUUAUCCAGAACACCAAUUGCGUAGGCA
rnacentral:rRNA from 1 species